GCCACGGUGGUCUAGCGGUUAGAACGCUGGUCUUGUAAUCCUGGGGUCUCGGGUUCGAUUCCCCGGCGGUGCCC
rnacentral:tRNA from 1 species